GAGAUUUUCGCAAUGCCCGAAAGGGUGACGAAGCGACGCCGCGUGCGGGAAGAAGGCCUUCGGGUUGUAAACCGCUGUCGGGAGUUAAGAAAUGUAAGGAUGUUAAUAGCAUCUUUGCUUGACUAAGGCUCCGGAGGAAGCCACGGCUAACUCUGUGCCAGCAGCCGCGGUAAUACAGAGGCGGCAAGCGUUGUUCGGAAUUGUUGGGCGUAAAGAGCACGUAGGCGGCUAUGUAAGUCGGUUGUGAAAGCCUUCCGCUCAACGGGAGAACAGCAUCCGAUACUGCAUGGCUUGAGUGCGGGAGGGGAGAGUGGAACUUCUGGUGGAGCGGUGAAAUGCGUAGAUAUCAGAAGGAACGCCGGCGGCGAAAGCGGCUCUCUGGCCCAUAACUGACGCUGAGUGUGCGAAAGCUAGGGGAGCAAACGGGAUUAGAUACCCCGGUAGUCCUAGCCGUAAACGAUGGGCACUAAGUAGAGGGGUUUUA
rnacentral:rRNA from 1 species